GUGGGUAUGGAGUAAAGAAAACCUUCAGUAGAGGAACAAAACUUAUUGUCACAGACAAAACGUUUAACACGGACAUUUCCCCCAAGCCCAUUAUGUUUCUUCCUUCAAUUGCUGAAACAAAGCUCCAUAAGGCCGGAACAUACCUUUGUCUUUUGGAGAAGUUUUUCCCUGAAGAUAUUAAGGUAUCCUGGAAAGAGAAAGAUGGGGAUACGAUUCUGAAGUCCCUGCAGGGAGACACCGUGAAGACUAAUGACACCUACAUGAAGCUCAGCUGGCUAACAGUGACUGGAGAUUCAAUGGAUAAAGAGCACAGAUGUAUCGUCAAACAUGAGAAAAACAGAGGAGGAGCUGAUCAAGAGAUUCUCUUUCCUCCUGUAAAUGAAGCUGUCAAUUUUAUUAAUCCCAGAGAAGCUGAAUUGAAAGAUCAAAAUGUUGUCACCACUCUUAGUCCCAGAGAAGCUAGUCUGACAGAUGAAAAUGUUGUCAAUACUACUGAAUCAGGAACUUCCUCCAAAGAUGAUUUACUGGACCUGCAGUUCAGCAGCACCUCUGCCUACUACACCUAUCUCCUGCUGCUGAUCAAGAGUGCCCUCCAUGGGGCGCUGGUCACCUACUGUCUGUGCAGAAGGUCAGCUGUCUUCUGUGACGGGAAAAGCACCUGACAGAUGGAGACACGUGCACCCAUGUGCAAAGUCUGCAACUUCCCUCUGUUACAAAAAGGCUUGGCCAGCGGUAACCCGGAGCGCCAUCCUUCCAUGGUCCCCACAGCUCCUCCAGCCAGCCCAGGUCUUCACAGCCUCAGUAUGCACAGCUCACUGCUUCUGGUCAGGGUCUCUUCCAAUAGGCUGGGUCAACCCUGGAAAUCUCCAGUCAACCCACACUGACGGCUUCUUUGCUAUUUAACUGUACUUUGAUAUUUGUA